UGCAAAACAAGGGUUAACAACCUUGAAUGGGUGUGUUUUUUGCUGUAUGCUAAUGUGUGUGUGUGGAGAUGACAAACUUCUAUAAAGGGAUGCUAUUCUCUGGUUUAUACACAAACACACUUUCCUCUUGUCAGGUAAGAUCUAGCUCAAAAACAUGGAUUUUGGAAAGAAAGCCAUUGGACAACAGGCUGAAAAGGCCAUUGAUCAUGCAGCUGGUGUUGUCAAAGAAAAGGUAAACACAGCAAUGGGAGACCUGAACAAGCAAGGAGGAGGUAUCGGUGGGGCGUUGAGUGGUGCAAACGCCAAAGCAACAGCAACAGCAGAAAAGACGGUUGAUCAAGCAGCGAACGCAGGGAAGAAAUUAAUGGGCUGAUUCCUACACAUUUCCUCCUUGCAACCCUACACGUUUCAUGUACAUACUAGGGUCUGUAUACUGCAUCUAAACAGAAUGGCAAAAAUUACUAUAUAAAUCCCUCUUACUUCACAUGAAUAAAAAAAAAGAUUAUAAUUGUGCAGUUGUUUGAUUGACUCUAAUUUGUGUGAAUGUGUGUGAGUAAUACGGUACUUAGCCCAAUCCAUGUAAAAAGCAAAUAAUGACAAAAAGCUUCAUUGACAGACAAGGAGGCAAUUGUAUUUAUUUUAUUUUAAUAUAGAUAUUUUUUAAUUCUCAGCUAAAAAGGCAAUACAAAUUUUCAGAAUCAAAAUUUCCCAAUAAAGGUGUAAAUGAGUUUGGUUGUAUGGUUUGUUCUUACUCUCACCUAUAUACCUCUACCUAGGGAAGGACUUAUGUGGUUUCCUUGUCUUUAAUAUUUAGUUCAGUAUGUUCAGUAAUAUUUAGUUCAGUAUGCGUUAACAACCAAUGGGCUUAAUCCCCACAAGAUCUGGGUGAAUGAAUCAUUCAUUUUAAAAUGGGAAAGGCAGAUACACCAAGUCCCCAAAGCAAAAUUUGAGCAAGACCAGUUUUGGAUGGAUUUCUGGGUAAAACUAAUUCCUCUGAGAAUAAAACUCCACCUCUUCUGUCUAAGGCAUCUUUUGUGACGUCUUUCAUUACUACAGCAAUUAGGGUUCACAAGGUUUGGGCCAACAAAGUCUCAUAAAUCAUAACAUAAUUCACCUUAAACUUGUUUUGAUGGCUGACAAAGAACAAAAAAAAUACUGUCGUCAUAACAAGGGAUGGAGUAGAACGACAGGUCCAGACAAGUAGUGAGACAGAACAGGAGUCUGGACAUUUUCGUCCAGUGAUUCAGCAGAAACAUCUAGCUGCACUGCAGGACAGAUUGAGACAAGGACAGAAACAAAGAACAAAAAAAAAA